UACGUAGGGGGCAAGCGUUGUCCGGAUUUAUUGGGCGUAAAGAGCGUGUAGGCGGCCUGACAGGUCUGCUGUGAAAACUCGAGGCUCAACCUCGAGAUGUCGGCGGAAACCGUCUGGCUAGAGUCCGGAAGAGGAGAGUGGAAUUCCUGGUGUAGCGGUGAAAUGCGCAGAUAUCAGGAAGAACACCAAUGGCGAAGGCAGCUUGCUGGGACGGUACUGACGCUGAGGCGCGAAAGCGUGGGGAGCAAACAGG
rnacentral:rRNA from 1 species